GAAUCCAAACCCCUUUCAGAGUAACAAUUGGAGGGCAAGUCUGGUGCCAGCAGCCGCGGUAAUUCCAGCUCCAAUAGCGUAUAUUAAAGUUGUUGCAGUUAAAAAGCUCGUAGUUGGAUAUCUGCUGGAAGCAGCCAGUCCGCCCUUUCGGGUGUGAACUUGGUGAAUUCUGGCAUCCUCCUGAUUGGGUUGUCAUUGGCACUUUACUGUGUUGAUGGCAGCUUUAUCAGGGCCGUUACUUUGAGAAAAUUAGAGUGUUUCAAGCAGGCUUGUUGCUUUGAAUACUGCAGCAUGGAAUAACAAGAUAGGAUUUCGGUUCUAUUUUGUUGGUUUCUAGGACUGAAGUAAUGAUUAAUAGGGACAGUUGGGGGCAUUCGUAUUUAACUGUCAGAGGUGAAAUUCUUAGAUUUGUUAAAGACGAACUACUGCGAAAGCAUUUGCCAAAGAUGUUUUCAUUAAUCAAGAACGAAAGUUAGGGGCUCGAAGACGAUCAGAUACCGU
rnacentral:rRNA from 1 species